CCCCCUCGUGGGGAAGGUAGAAGGUGGGGUCUGCCGGACGCGUGUUCCUGCCACCAGGUGCCCGCUCCCCGCGAGGCCGGCUCAGGAGCAGGUAGAAUGUAAACAAUUGAAAAAAAUCCCUUCCCAAUCAGAAUACCACCCACAGGACAACGAAGAAAACCUAUCUUCAGUCCCCACCCACGAAAUGCUGGGGGGUGGGGAGGACUGGAAAAGGAGUAAGGGGAGAGGAAGGGUGAGCAGCUGCAAGAAGUCUUUACACCUCUCUGCGGUUCCUGGUAAACGCGCUCAUGUCCUGGAAGGAAGCCCGGUGCCAGCCAGCCUUCCUGAAAGACCAAGCCCGCGCCAUCCGGCUUCCUCCAGUGGACGCCUGCAGGACCCAGGUGAGACACGGAACCGGUUGGGGACGCGAGCCAGGGAUCCUGACCGGUUGGGGGCGGCGAGCAAGGGAUCCUGACUUGGGGGCGUUGCCUCCCGGAAUCCAAGCGGCCUUUUGCCCGGGUCUCCCGAGAUGCAUCGAAAUUGAGCUCGUCCACACAGCCCCCUGACUGCGUGAUGCCCUUUUCUGACUUAAAACAUUCCUUGUACCUUUAUUUACACGAUCCAAGUUGCAGUGUGCCUAGAUUUUCCUCCAAGGACAAAAAUGUGAAUAAAGCAAUAUUUUAGCCAAA
rnacentral:lncRNA from 1 species